CAACUAUUGCAUUGUUUUUUGUUUUUUCCAAUACGAAAACUCAUGUUAUAAACACCUUUUUGUCAGAAUCUUUAACAACUGAGACAGUUCAAAGUAGAGAAACGGAGGAAGUACUAGCCGAAGUCGAACUGAUAUGUUCAGAGCAAAGAAGAAAUGCGAUGAAGUUGUUGCAGGACUGAUGUACCUGUUGGACGUGAUGUGGGCUCCACAUCCACUGCAGAUGUCCCUCCAAAUUGUAAAAACCGAAGAUCAUUUGUCGCGUUGGCUUUGAACAAUCCCGUGAGCGUUAAAAAUUCGAAUGAUUUUUAUGUUCUCUCGAUGAAGACACACUAUCAAGCAAAGCUGGUUGCAAUUUCCAAAUGCUGUCAUUGAGUUUUCAAUGUUUUCGUUGACGGUUUUACGGUUAUGGUAAUCACCAGUUUAGUCGACUUUUUUGUAACACGCAACAUGUAAGUUGUCCCGUGAAGCAAGCUAUUGCAAUUAAGUCAGUUAACUGUCAUAAGAAUUGUCCUCCAGAUCAAAUGAUGCUUGAGCAAUUUUCACAUAAGAUAGCGAGAUCAGAAAAUUUUUAACCAUGCACCUAGUGGUU